rnacentral:rRNA from 1 species
ACGCUCGACACCUACGGGAGGCGGCAGUGGGGAAUAUUGCACAAUGGGGGAAACCCUGAUGCAGCGACGCCGCGUGAGCGAAGAAGUAUUUCGGUAUGUAAAGCUCUAUCAGCAGGGAAGAAGAAAGACGGUACCUGACUAAGAAGCCCCGGCUAACUACGUGCCAACAGCAGCGGUAAUCUGAGCGGGCUGGCAAGGC